rnacentral:lncRNA from 1 species
GGGGAAAACCUUUUGUCAUCAUUCUACUAUGAAUUGGCAACUAUUUUUGUAAAUAACACAUAUACAGUUCAAAGGUAUUGAUAAUACUUAUACAAUCCCAUGGUAUACGUAAUAGAUCAUGCUUUUAUGGAUGCACGGGUAAUUCAUAUACCUGCUGGUCACAUCCAUGUUUCUGGCACUAUGUAUAUAACUGCCAAUUAUAAUUCAUGUAUGUCGUAGUUUAACGAAAACAGACGCCAGACGACCUUUCGCUUGUAGAGCAAAUGGUCUGUUUAUUCGUAUGUAUACCCUUCACUGCAGUACUUCUGGAUCCGUCAUUGGCUCAGAUAAUUCUCCACUGAGAUUAUAAGCAUACGCUUUUACAAACCUCAGUUGCAGGGAUUUUUGUUCAUUGGGCAGGAGUGGUAACCGUAGCCACCUGAACCUGGCCUCCCAUUGAGUACGUUCACCGCCGACGGCAUUUCGCCUGUCUGCAGCCUAUCAUCUCCCGCCAACUUCCUCGCCGGAGCUGCAGCAGCAGAGGAUGUAAUCACCAGUAGGACGAACACAAGGACUGUUGCCGCCUUCAUGCUUCACCAGCCGUGGUAUAGAUCUGUGUGCGAAAGAAACAAAAAUUGAGGAAAUGGGCUUAUCGAAUCAAAGGGGAUUUGAAGGGUGAAUUCCUUGGUAUGUUCUUGGAUCGAACCUGAAGUGCCUUGCUUAAUUGUGUUUAAUCUUGAUCUAAGUUGGAUGAUUUUUUCAAUGCGACAGAGUUGUGAUAUUUAUAGCAGGUUGGCAACUUGGCAUACAGUAGUAUACUGCUCUUGUGUAUAGAUCUUCGCCACUAGCAAGGGCAGAUAUGCAACUAGCAUGAUCGAUCGACAAUAUGAAGUGGUUUACUUGCAGGAAUUCUCUGGCUCCAUCAAUUGCAGAAAUGACAGGUGAUGGNNNNNNNNNNCUGAUGAAAUAUCUGUGUAUCUUCACUUGGAGACCUAUAUAUAGAUAGUAAAUUGUAGUUAUAUUUAGGGGCACUGUUCUAUUGCAUUGUGACGGCAACGAGCAAUAUCUGAAGGACAAAUAUGGUUUUCUAGUUGCAUGCAUCGACAUCAGAAUAUCUCUAUCAUGACUUAGUCGAAUGUGAUAAUUAUCUUGUUUUUAUUAUUACAAAUGAUGCUUUUAUUAACCUAAAAUAUAGCAUGAAAUGGAUAUGAUACAUGAUGAGGGACACUCCGCCCAGGGUUCGUCCUGAGAUUUAGGAGGACCGGGGCGGAACUAAAACAUGAGCCAUUUAAUGUAAACACCAUAACAAUGAUAAUCAUUAUAUAUAGGACGCAGAUCUUUGAAACAUGGUGCCAAUGCACCUGACUUGAAAAAAACAAUUAAAGAACUAAAUGAGUAAAUUUUAUGUAAAAUUUGUUUGUAACUAACACGGUCUAGGGUAAUACUCUUGUGGAAAGUUUCCGGGAGAAAUGACUCUGAUGGUAUUCUUAAAUAAAAUCGAAGUCUAAAAAUAUGGAUAGUAAUAUUAAUAUGGUAUCAAUUUUUUUUCUGUCUAGGAUACCAUUGUAGUCGUUCCUUCGUGAAAGUUUUCACAGAGAAUUAUGCUAAGUUAUCUUUGUUAAAGAAAGUUCCAGAAUUUGUUGACUCUUUUCGUUAUUUUUAAAACAAAAAUUUCAGUUCGGAUGGAGUGGGACCUGAGACACAUUUGCUUCGGUAGACCCCGCUCCACAAAACGUAGAAAGGAAAACGUAUACCCACCUCAUAUUGUAUAUAUUUUUAUACACUACUGGAAGCCAUACGGUUUACAUACGUAUGGUAGUCUGUAGUGUAUAAUACGAGGUGGAUAUACGAUUUCCGUUAUACAUUCUGUUGGGGGAGGGGGGGGGGGGGUUCAACCGAAGAACUACCUCUUGUAAUUUUCUGCCAUAUGUAGGACUACAUACCUGUACAAAUAUACAUUAAAUGUUAUCAAUUAAAACUUGAAUGCAUCUAAAGUAAUAUUUAUAUCACAUAACUUGUGUAUAUUACCUUAUCACAAUUCUACAUUACUCGAUGCAAAGCAACAUAAGAUGCAAACUUAACUUCAAAUUUUGGAUGCAUUUGCGCCAUUUCUCAGGAGAAAUCAUUCAUUCUCAAGGUCCACUGGAGAAAUGGUCAUUUAACUUUCUCAUAGUACUUCUCAAGGCCAAUGUUGAAUACUACUUCACUCCUGUCCUUCCGGUGCAUCUCGUUCACAGCCUCAUGUAGGAUCAUUAUUCAAAUCAAGUAUAUUCAUUCCUUGCAUGAACACCGAUUUGGCAACCAACUUGAGCCUAUUAGUACCAACUUUGGUGAAGAUUUUGAAGCUUUCCUAAAUGAGCCAUAUCGAUGUUUUUUUUUAAAAACCGUGUACAAGUCAUCACACACAGUUACAUUUUUAGUACUACGUGUAGUAUUGCGAUAUCUUUCUUUCACGAAUACGCAAAGUCGGCGUAUUAUUACAUUGAUAGAAGAAGUNNNNNNNNNNAGAGGCAAGCAUCAUGGACAUGGUGCCCGAAGCACAUAGACGUGAGAUGCUCGACCCAAACAAACACUAACACAGCUAAAUUCGUCGACCAGAGAAAUAGUCCGACCAACAUCUAUGAAGCCAGCACCAUGGACACCGCGAGUAAACAAGACAACGCCUUAACAAAGGCGAACAACACCAAGUUGUUGCCUUGUCCAAUCCAUAAAAUCGGACCUAGGGUUUCCCCCGAUGAUAUUGGAGAGUGGGGCACAAAUAAUUGACAUGGCAACACUUCCUAGACGGGGCGGUGCCUACGGGUGUCGCGGCUGCUAGAAUAGAAUCUGUAGAUUUUGGCCUGGCGGGUUGUGAAUGUGGGUGAAUCCCCGGACAAGACGGGGUCUGCAAGGAGCGCAGAUCGACAUCACCAUGACUGAAGAACCAGGGGCGCCGGUGAGACCAAGGAGCUAGAAAGGAGACACAACUCCUAGAGCGUGCCAAAACCGAAGCAGACCUCUUGUAAUUUUCUGUUAUAUGUAGGACUAGAUACCUGUACAAAUAUACAUCAAAUGUUAUCAAUUAACACUUGAAUGCAUCUAAAAGUAAUAUCUAUGUCACAUAACUUGUGUAUAUUACCUUAUCAUAAUUCUACAUUACUCCAUGUAAAGCAACAUAUGAUGCAAACUUAUCUUCAAAUUUUGGAUGCAUUUGUGCCAUUUCUCAGGAGAAAUCAUUCAUUCUCAAGGUCCAUUCGAGAAAUGGCCAUUUAACUUUGUCAUAAUACUUCUCAACGCCAAUGUUGAAUACUACUUCACUCCUGUCCUUCUUGUGCAUCUCCCUCACAGUCUCAUGUAGGAUUGUUACUCAAAUAAAGUAUAUUCAUUCCUUGCAUGAACACCGAUUUGGGAUGGCCUAACAACAUGUCUAGCAACCGACUUGAGCCUAUUAGUACCAACUUUGGUGAAGAUUUUGAAGCUUCCAUAAAUGAGGCAUAUCGGUCUCUCUUUUGUGAAAACCGUGUGCAAGUCAUCACACACAGUUACAUUUUUAGUACUAUGUGUAGUAUUGCGAUAUCUUUCUUUCACGAAUACGCAAAGUCGGCAUAUUAUUAUAUUGAUAGAAGAAGUUAGAAUGAAUACACGAGGUGGUACAACACAUAGCACGGAGGCAAGCAGCAUGGACAUGGUGCCUGGAGCACAUAGACGUGAGAUGCUCGACCCAAACAAAGACUAACAUGGCUAAAUUUGUCGACCAUAGAAAUAGUCCGACCAACAUCUAUGAAGCCAGCAUUCGACCGCGCGCCACCUUCCGAGAUGGGAGCACCACAGCCGCCCUGCCGCGCGCGAGGCCCAGGAUACCGGUGACCCGGCCGCCCCGCCAGCCCGCCGUUGCGUCCCGCGGCCGCCCAACGCCGCCACCCGAGGAGUCCGCCCGCGCCGAAGCCCCACGAGCAGAGGGGGAAGAAGGGCCCCGCCGCCGUCGUGCUCACCGGGCUUUGCCCGAUAUCGCGUGCCGACGGCUGCGGGGAGGAGGGGAGGGAGGCGGGUCGAAGUGGAUGGCGGCUAGGGUUCCCCCCGGCGCGCACGUAUGUUGAUUUCCAUUAUUACAUGACAUCUCUUGGUCCCCUCUCGAAAAUGCACGUCGUAUGUUGUAUGUUGAUUUCCAUUAUUACAACUUGUGACUUGACAUCUCUUGGUAGUUCAAUUUCUUUGAUAACAAAAUGAUCAUAUUUUUAGUUAUUCCAUUGUUAUGUCGUCUCUCCAUCCCCUGGUUGAAUGGCACAAGGACACAAAAAUAACUAACAAACAAAAGCAAAAAAACUACGCAAGUGCAAAGAUCCUGGGUCUCCCCGACCUCCCGGCGCCGAUACCUAUUGUCGAGGGAGACUUCCGGAAUUAGCGGGGACAAGGAUGAGAUGUUGUCUUGCGGCUAGGAUUUUCUUUUUUUGGUUUGGGCUUUUCUUUUUUGGUUGGUGAGUGUGAGUAUUGGUGAGUACAUCCAAGAAAUUCUAGGAAAAGGUAUUGAUCAUUUUUCUGUUGUACAAAAAAAACAUCUCUUAUAGAAGUACAUACAUAAAUGAUCAUAUGUUUUACAUUUAGGAAAUUUACUUCAAUUAAUUACACAGUACCACAAUUUUUAUCAGAGAUUUUUGAAGUGCUCAAGUUUACGUACGAAAACCUGCCAAGGAGUGCAGUGGACCUUCCUUUUUCUUUUACUAAAUCAGCGGCAGGAGCUCUGACAUUCAAUAUAAGUAGAAGAAAGUUGCCCAGUAAACUAAGGACGAAAACCAACAUCUACUCCCUCUGAUGGGAAUUGGGAAAUAACUGUCGUGGUUUUAGUUCAAAUUAGUCGCCCUGCCAUUCUACUAUGCAUGAAUCGGCAGUUAUCUUGGUAAAUAAUGCAUAUAUAUUCAAAAGGUAUUCAUAAUACUUAUACAAUCCGAUCGUAUACAUCAUACAUCAUGCUUUUAUGGAUGCACGGGUAAUAUAUAUAUCUGCUGGUCACAUCCAUGUUUCUGGCACUAUAUAACUGCCAAUUAUAAUUCAUGUAUGUCGUAGUUUAACGAGAACAGACGCGAGACCACCUUUUGCUUGGAGAGCAAACGGUCUGUUUAUUCGUAUAUAUGUAAACCCUUCACUGCAGUAAUUCUGGAUCCUUCAUUGGCUCAGGUAAUUCUCCACUGAACCAUGACAAGAUUUUAAGCAUACGCUUUUACAAACCUCAGUUGCAGGGAUAUUUGUUUAUUGGGCAGGUAUGGCAACCGUAGCAAUCUGAACCUGGCCUCCCGUUGAGUACGUUCACCUCCGACGGCAUUUCGCCUGUCUGCAGCCCAUCAUCUCCCGCCAACCUCCUCGCCGGAGCUGCAGCAGCAGAGGAUGUAAUCACCAGUAGGACCAACACAAGGACUGUAGCUGCCUUCAUGCUUCACAAGCGGUGGUAUAGAUCUGCGUGCAAAAGAAAUAAAAAAUUGAGGAAAUGGGCUUAUGGAAACAAAAGGGAUUCGAAGGGUGAAUUGCUUGGUAUUUACUUGGAUCGAACCUGAAGUGCCUUGCUUAAUUGUGUUUAAUCUUGAUCNNNNNNNNNNGAGUUGGAUGUGUUUUUCAGUGUGGGGGAGUUGUGAUAUUUAUAGGGGGUUGGCAACUUGGCAUGCAGUAGUGUACUGCUCUUGUGUGUAGAUCUUCGCCACUUGCAAUGUCAGAUAUGCAACUAGCAUGAUCAAUCGACAAUAUGAAGUGGUUUAUUUGCAGGAAUUCUCUGGCUCCAUCAAUUGCAG